CCUUGCAGAACCCUGCCGCUUCCAGGACCCCGGGUCGUGAUGUGGUCCUUCGCUUGUCCUUAUCACUUUUCCUGCCCAGCUAACGAUGCUGUAUCCGUUGGACGGAGAACUGAUAAGGGCGCGCGACUGACGCUGUCUGCGUUUGGUGAAGACACCCGGGCCCGGUGUACGGCCGCUUCAGACCACAAUUGCAGGACCAUUAAAAUACUGGGAGGCUCCUCUGAGUUCCCCUUAAAAAGGCUUCUGAGAAUUUCUCAAGUCACCAACCUGCUUUGAAAUAUAUGGACGACUAUAUUACCUCCAGCCAGAAGGGGGCACUGUGACUCUUUCUUAUGGAGAAGCACCUCCCAUAACUAUGAUACAGCUUCACGUAGUAUAGCCGUCCUGCUGGAUCAAGCUUCACAUGGAGUCCCCUGGACAUUGCUGUUCCCUCCAGAUCAUAUAGUCAACUUGUCUGUUCAUAAAUUUAAUAGUUAUUAUAAAUGUAAAUACAUUUAUAAUGCAUAAUUUAUUUGAACCAAAUUCCAUUGCACAUAGAGUCGCUGGUUCAAGGAAACCUUGUAAACCAGAGUCAGUGGAGAGGCUCCCAGUUUAGUCCUGCUGUCCUCCCUGUCCCAGCUUCUGUUACCAUGUUUGCUGUUUGUUAGCCCUACGAGCAGAUCUAGACUUUCUUAAAUUGGAGGCUAUUAAAACUCAGCAAUUCCUUCUCCCCGUAACCAUAGAAACUAUAUUACCAAGCGACAGUCCGACACUUGCUUGUAAGUUUGGUGUUGGCAGGCUUCAUAUUGCAAAUGGGUUUUCUGUCUGUGUGGUUUUCGUGUUUCUCUGCGGGUAAUAGGUAGUGUAAUGAGAACAGACCCUGAUCUCAUUUGGUAUGACACUGUAACUGGAGGGACACUGUUAUCACAGCCUGCCGUGUCACAAAAAACAGAAAGGUAUAAGCUUCAAUAAAAGUAUGGAAGUCA